AUGAACGCUAGCUACAGGCUUAACACAUGCAAGUCGAGGGGCAGCAUGGUCUUAGCUUGCUAAGGCCGAUGGCGACCGGCGCACGGGUGAGUAACACGUAUCCAACCUGCCGUCUACUCUUGGACAGCCUUCUGAAAGGAAGAUUAAUACAAGAUGGCAUCAUGAGUCCGCAUGUUCACAUGAUUAAAGGUAUUCCGGUAGACGAUGGGGAUGCGUUCCAUUAGAUAGUAGGCGGGGUAACGGCCCACCUAGUCUUCGAUGGAUAGGGGUUCUGAGAGGAAGGUCCCCCACAUUGGAACUGAGACACGGUCCAAACUCCUACGGGAGGCAGCAGUGAGGAAUAUUGGUCAAUGGGCGAGAGCCUGAACCAGCCAAGUAGCGUGAAGGAUGACUGCCCUAUGGGUUGUAAACUUCUUUUAUAAAGGAAUAAAGUCGGGUAUGGAUACCCGUUUGCAUGUACUUUAUGAAUAAGGAUCGGCUAACUCCGUGCCAGCAGCCGCGGUAAUACGGAGGAUCCGAGCGUUAUCCGGAUUUAUUGGGUUUAAAGGGAGCGUAGAUGGAUGUUUAAGUCAGUUGUGAAAGUUUGCGGCUCAACCGUAAAAUUGCAGUUGAUACUGGAUAUCUUGAGUGCAGUUGAGGCAGGCGGAAUUCGUGGUGUAGCGGUGAAAUGCUUAGAUAUCACGAAGAACUCCGAUUGCGAAGGCAGCCUGCUAAGCUGCAACUGACAUUGAGGCUCGAAAGUGUGGGUAUCAAACAGGAUUAGAUACCCUGGUAGUCCACACGGUAAACGAUGAAUACUCGCUGUUUGCGAUAUACUGCAAGCGGCCAAGCGAAAGCGUUAAGUAUUCCACCUGGGGAGUACGCCGGCAACGGUGAAACUCAAAGGAAUUGACGGGGACCCGCACAAGCGGUGGAGCAUGUGGUUUAAUUCGAAGCAACGCGAAGAACCUUACCAGGUCUUGACAUCGAUCUAAAAGGGAUGGAGACAUCCUCAUAGCUAUAGAGAAGACAGGUGGUGCAUGGUUGUCGUCAGCUCGUGCCGUGAGGUGUCGGCUUAAGUGCCAUAACGAGCGCAACCCUUGUUGUCAGUUACUAACAGGUUCCGCUGAGGACUCUGACAAGACUGCCAUCGUAAGAUGUGAGGAAGGUGGGGAUGACGUCAAAUCAGCACGGCCCUUACGUCCGGGGCUACACACGUGUUACAAUGGGGGGUACAGAGGGCCGCUACCACGCGAGUGGAUGCCAAUCCCAAAAACCUCUCUCAGUUCGGACUGGAGUCUGCAACCCGACUCCACGAAGCUGGAUUCGCUAGUAAUCGCGCAUCAGCCACGGCGCGGUGAAUACGUUCCCGGGCCUUGUACACACCGCCCGUCACACCAUGAGAGUUGGCAACACCCGAAGCCGGCGGCCCAACCCGCAAGGGAGGGAGCUGUCUAAGGUGGGGCUGAUGAUUGGGGUG
rnacentral:rRNA from 1 species